GAUGAACGCUGGCGGCGUGCCUAAUACAUGCAAGUCGAGCGAACAGACGAGGAGCUUGCUCCUCUGACGUUAGCGGCGGACGGGUGAGUAACACGUGGAUAACCUACCUAUAAGACUGGGAUAACUUCGGGAAACCGGAGCUAAUACCGGAUAAUAUAUUGAACCGCAUGGUUCAAUAGUGAAAGACGGUUUUGCUGUCACUUAUAGAUGGAUCCGCGCCGCAUUAGCUAGUUGGUAAGGUAACGGCUUACCAAGGCAACGAUGCGUAGCCGACCUGAGAGGGUGAUCGGCCACACUGGAACUGAGACACGGUCCAGACUCCUACGGGAGGCAGCAGUAGGGAAUCUUCCGCAAUGGGCGAAAGCCUGACGGAGCAACGCCGCGUGAGUGAUGAAGGUCUUCGGAUCGUAAAACUCUGUUAUUAGGGAAGAACAUAUGUGUAAGUAACUGUGCACAUCUUGACGGUACCUAAGCAGAAAGCCACGGCUAACUACGU
rnacentral:rRNA from 1 species